rnacentral:rRNA from 1 species
GGGUGUGAUCAUACUAUCACUAAUGCACCAUAUCCCAUCAGAACUCCGCAAUUAAGCAUGCUUGGGAGAGAAUAGUUCUAAGAUGGGCUUGUCUUAUGACUUUCG